CCCGAAAGAUCGAAUGGGGAGACUCAUCGUCAGCGGAGUUGGCUUCCAUGCGGUACGCGAUGAUGAAGAAUUUAUUCGAUUCACGCUUCCGCUGUGGUUAUGCGUCCGAUUACGUAGGCGUGCACUUCUCCCCUAGUAGAACGUCGCGACCCGCUGGGUGUCGGUUUAAGGGCCGUGAUCGUAGACUGUCCCGUCGCUUCACGGCGUACGGUGGCAGACGCUCGGUUCCCCGACCGGCUGCCCGGCGGUAAGCUCCAAGGUAUCGAGCCGCACUCGAAUGCGUUCAGACCCGUCGCAAGCUCGACCAUUUUUUCAUCCCGGAUGCGCGGACCUAGCGCCGUCACUGGGGAUGGUUGGCUGUUGGUCGACGGUGUUCUCGAACCGGCUUAAACAUGCUGUACUUCAGCGAUACCCGUCGGCGACGCUAUGGCUUUGGGUACUUUCAGGACCCGUCUUGAAACACGGACCAAGGAGUCUAACAUGUGCGCGAGUCAUUGGGACAAUUGAAACCUAAAGGCGCAUUGAAAGAGAAGAUCGGCCUCGCGUCGGUCGAGGGAGGAUGGGCUUGCGUUUCGAUGCGGCUCCCCACUCCGGGGGCGUCUCUUAAAGUCAUUGCGACUUGAGGCGCACCCAGAGCGUACACGUUGGGACCCGAAAGAUGGUGAACUAUGCCUGGUCAGGACGAAAUCAGGGGAAACCCUGAUGGAGGUCCGUACCGAUUCUGACGUGCAAAUCGAUCGUCGGAACUGGG
rnacentral:rRNA from 1 species